rfam:Trichobilharzia regenti genome assembly, scaffold: TRE_scaffold0008466
AUCCAGAUGACGAGUCCAAAAUAGGACGAAAUGCGCAUCCUGGAU